GGCAGAAUAGCUCAGUUGGAUACCUUUGGGUUAGAGCAUCUCACAUGACAUGAACGCGCGUUGCAGGACAUGCCAGUCGUUUCAAGACCCUGGAGCUCGUGUCUCGGAACUACUGGUGGCCCCAACUGUCUCGCCACGUCGGUGUCGGUAUGUCGCAACUUGUGACUUGUGCUGUCGCACCAAGGCCCUUCGUCGACUUCCAAUUGGUGAGCUCCACCCCACCGAGGUCCCGGAAGAGCGCUGGCGUCGCAGGUUCGAAUCCUGCUUCAGCCA